rnacentral:rRNA from 1 species
AGCAGCCGCGGUAAUUCCAGCUCCAAUAGCGUAUAUUAAAGUUGUUGCAGUUAAAAAGCUCGUAGUUGAAUUUCGGGAUCAAUACGUCGGUCGUGCUUCGGUACGUACUGGCGUCAUUGAUUUCUCCCUUCUGACGAACCAUGAUGUCAUUAACUUGGUGUCAUGGGGAAUCAGGACUGUUACUUUGAAAAAAUUAGAGUGUUUAAAGCAGGCUCACGCUUGAAUACAUUAGCAUGGAAUAAUGAAAUAGGACGUUCGAUCCUAUUUUGUUGGUUUUUAGGAUCAACGUAAUGAUUAAUAGGGAUAGUUGGGGGCAUUAGUAUUCAAUUGUCAGAGGUGAAAUUCUUGGAUUUAUUGAAGACUAACUACUGCGAAAGCAUUUGCCAAGGAUGUUUUCAUUAAUCAAGAACGAAAGUUAGGGGAUCGAAGACGAUCAGAUACCGUCGUAGUCUUAACCAUAAACUAUGCCGACUAGGGAUCGGAUGAUGUUAAUUUUUUCAAUGACUCAUUCGGCGCCUUA